GAUGAACGCUAGCUACAGGCUUAACACAUGCAAGUCGAGGGGCAGCACAAGGCAGCAAUGCUGAGGUGGCGACCGGCGCACGGGUGCGUAACGCGUAUCCAACCUUCCCGUUACUCUUGGAUAGCCUUCCGAAAGGGAGAUUAAUACAUGAUGGUGUUGAAAUUCCGCAUGUUAUUUCAACUAAAGAUUUAUCGGUAACGGAUGGGGAUGCGUGACAUUAGAUAGAUGGCGGGGUAACGGCCCACCAUGUCCACGAUGUCUAGGGGUUCUGAGAGGAAGGUCCCCGAACCGGGAACUGAGACACGGACAAGCAUCCUACGGGAGGGAGCAGUGAGGAAUAUUGGUCAAGGGCCGGAAGGCUGAACCAGCCAAGUAGCGUGAAGGAUGAGGGUUCUAUGGAUUGUAAACUUCUUUUAUACGGGAAUAAAACCUCCAACGUGUGGGAGCUUGUAUGUACCGUAUGAAUAAGCAUCGGCUAACUCCGUGCCAGCCGCCGCAGUAACAC
rnacentral:rRNA from 1 species